GUCAAUGAUGAGUCUGUCAAAUCCGUGUUUCAGCUGAAUUUAUUUGAUGCUGACAUCAGUUAAUUUUGUCUGUUUGACUUCUGAGUA